GUGACCUAGUGGUUCUUGCCUAGUUGGGUGUGCUCCCCAACCUAGGUUCGAACCUCGAAGCUGUCAAAGUGGCCAGACACUAUGCUGCAAUGCACAGUUGGAGCAUUUCACAUGCGUCGAAGGAGUUUAAAAAACUACAGACGGACUUGCUACCAAAUGAUUACCUUCAAAGGAACAUCAAUGUUGCAUAAAAAGGGGUUCAAGAUUUCAGAUUCAAAUCAUGGUAAACUGACCGACUGGCUAGCAGCUAUUGGAAUAAUGCCAAGUAGAUUCUUGACAGUGGGAUGCUAUUGGUAUAAAUUGGUGCUAUCGAGCUUAAUUGAAAUUUGUAUGUAAAUUGGUGCUAUGGUAGUGUCAAUAAAUUGGUGCUAGAAUCAGACCAGUCAUUAACUGUGUAGAAAUUCAUCCAUGUCCAGCAGAUCUCGAUCUGUAUGCGCAGCAGGAUGAGAAAGAAUUGCUUGAGAGAAGCUGUUGCCUCACGCAUCUAAAGCCAUGUACGUGUUGCACGGAAAGAGGAUAAUUUCUUCUUCGCAUUGUCCAAGUAUCAGAAUCUGCUGGAAGAAACUUUGACCAAAAAUCUAAAUUCUGUGCAGCCUUCAUACCAUCUUAAUGUGGUCAGAGAACCAAAGAACAUUGGUUUGCUCAAGUAUAAAACGUUUUUGUUUUCAGCCCAUUGCUUUUCAUUGUUCUCCUUGUGUUUCUGUUAGAUGCUAGAUUUCUCAACUUCCAUAGAAAGGAAUCACCUUGUAAAUCAUUGCCCCAAAUCAAACACCCUAGAAGAAAUAAAAAAAAGAAGCGAGGUGAGGACCUCAAUCACGGUUCAAAAGAUCUAAGGAUUAAUGAUUGCAGGACGGGUAUCCGACAUACUCUUCAAGCUCGAAAUGGAGACAAAUUGAGAAUUUUGCAUGUUAGAUCGCCAACAAAAGAUCUAGU